CACAGGCCCAAGGGGCACUGUCCUGUCUGCAGAUGCUGCGGGAAAUCACAGAUCAGGAACACAACGUGGUGGCACUGAAGGAGGCCAUCAAGGACAAGGAGGAACCUCUGCACAUAGCCCAGACCCGGCUGUAGUUGCUCUCACACCGGCCCAACAUGCAGCUGUGCCGCGAUGCAGCCCAGUUCAGGUACUGCCUGGGCCUCUGAGGCAGUCCCAGGUGCCCCCAUCCACCUCCUCGCUGCGACCCUCUCCAAUAAACACUCCAAUCUCCACACACACAUCCCCCACAGGUGCUGAGAGGGGAGGGAGACUCUGCGGCCACACACAACAUGCAAGCACGCCUUAAACACACAGAUAUAGACAUGACACUGGGCAGGUCAUGGGUCGGGGGCCUCCCCGUGCCAGGGACCUGUGCCCACGUGGUCUCACCCCACCCUGUGCUACCUCAUCUUCCCGGGAGGAAGCUCCUUCAGACAAGCCCCAGCUCACACCCCCCAACACCCCCAAGCUGGUGAGUGAGGUGGAGGAGCUGUACAAGUCCAUCACAGCGCUGCGGGAGAAGCUUCUACAAGCGGAGCAGUCCCUGCGCAACCUCAAGGACAUCCACAUGAGCCUGGAGAAGGACGUCACUGCCAUGACCAACAGUCUCUUCAUCGACCGCCAGAAGUGCAUGGCCCAUCGUACUUGCUACCCCACCAUUCUGCAGCUGGCUGGCUACCAGUGAGCAGCGGCACGGUGCUUCCCCCCAAUCCCCC
rnacentral:lncRNA from 1 species